GCCCCCUCCCCCCGCCCCAGGCGGGCUCGGCGGGGCGCCGGGGGUCCCCGCUGCGCUUGACAGGCGGCCCCGGGCGCCCGGCGCUCGGGCGGAAACGGCAAAGUUCCCUCGGCGGCACCCACGCAGCCCGGGUCCCCGAGGGGCGCCGGGGUGUGCGUUUCUCUUUCGGAAGAGGAGGAAAGUUCGAGGGGAAGGGGGCGCGGGGCACGUCGGGCCCCCUUUGUGCGGCCAGGAAAGGCGUUGCGCCGGCCGCGUCCGAGGCGCGCCCCCACCCCCGGAAAGGGAAGUUUGAGAAGUUGCUUGGGCAUCCGAAGGAGGCAGGGGAGCCGCGCGGCCCGGAGCCGAGGCCGCCGAGCAGCCAGAGCAGCUGGCGCACCUGGGGUCGCCGCGGCCCGGGCCGAAGCCGCGCGCCCACCCGGGUCUGGCCGAGCCACCCCCCUUCAGUGGCCAGCGAGUCCAGCCUUCGCUCGGGGGAGGCGCCGCACGUCGCCCCAGGCCGGCUUCUCGGCCCGCAGUCGCUGUCUGCAAGUUUCAAGGAAAGAAACAAUUUCCCGAGGAAAGCUCUCUGGCCCCGCUGAUGGCUGGGCGUGGACGGGGAGGGGAGCAGGGAUGGUCAGGUGGAAGGCGGGGAAUUACGAACUCAGUGCCUACUAGGUGCUGGGUGCUGGAGAUGGGGCCUGGAGCAAGACAGCCCUGCCUUCCCUGAGUUGAUGGGUUCUGGAAAGGUUCGAUUCCUGACCGUCCGUACGCUUCCUAGAGGUUUCUGAAGGUGAAAAUUGCAGGAAUUGAGUUCUUACUGACUUGCUGCGGAAAGUGCGGAACCCCCGGGACCUUAAAAGUUAAAGUUUUUGCAGCUGUGAUUCCGACAACUGAGUGUCUGCAGCUGGGGUCAAGGUGAACUGAGUAUUUGGACCUUUCGAGGCCUCAGUUCCUUCAUCUGUAAAAUGGUUACAUUGGGAUAGUUUUACAUCCCUUUCAUUGGUAGCGCUUGUCGCUGCCUUUCCCCUUCGAUGAUUUGGAGAUGCCUUGUGUAGGUAGAUUUGGGACGAAGUGUAGAGGAUCUGACAGGCCACAUCACCUCCAGGUACUUGCUUGUUUUUCCCAAAGGGCCACAGGCAGACUUGACCUUUAUGUUUGUCCAGAAGAGAGAAGCACCGGGUUCUACAUGGUACCUUUCAGAGGAUUUGAAGUGGGUUGAGAACUUUUUAAAAUGAUGCCUCAUACGGAACGUGGCAUGGAGAUGGGAGUUUUCAGUGGAAUAAGGCAGAAGAACUGUUGUAAACAUAACGUCCUAACGCGCAUUUGAGUUUCAUAAGAUCCUAGUAUUUCAUUCUUGGAUGUUUUCCGACGUUGCAGCGCCACAAUGUUCAAGUGUCUCUGAUUAUAUUCCAGAUACUUAAAAACUGAACUAUAUUUUGCUAGUAAAGCUUUGAAACGGCACCCUUCAUUUUCCGAGUGCGUGAAAAGUCAUUAAAACUCUUCGUUUCCGAUUACGAAAGAAGGAAAUCAGCAGGCCCUGAUUUGGUUAGGUUUUGUUUACGAGGAUAAGAUUUAUGAAUUUUCAAAUUCCAGACCCAGUGGUUCAUGAGUCCAUUUCAUUUCAUCUGUAUACACAUUUUUAAACAAUUAGCUUAAGAGCCUAGUGGCUUUUCAUUCGGGCUUUUGAACAGUUUUGCAAAACCCACAGGUUUCCUAUUUUGAUGGAAUUAAAGUUUCCGAAUUUGAACUAAGGAAUCACUUUGAAUGUGGACUCAUUUGAAAUUAAAUUUUCAAGGAUAGUUGAAGGUUGAAGGUAGCCAUAAUGAAAACAAGAAACCUACCUUCCACUUGCAUUUUAAUUUUCCAUGUGAGUAAACGGUUUCAGGAUUUUUCUAAAGUAACUGGUAAACUGUCCAGGCUUUUUCAGAGCAUCUUAAUGUGUGAUAAGAUGGGAGGAAAUGAGAUUGUUUACCGUGUCUUGUUAGGUCACCUAAGUAAGUCCCAUCUUCUGUUUGGCAGACUGAUAAGUGGGCAGAGGAUUUCAGGAUAAGAACAAACUUCUCGAAGAAAUGUUCUUAAAUCCUGUUUUGUUUGUUUCGUAGACCCACUCUUCCCGAAUGCCCCAAAUUAAGUAAUUACUCUUUAGGGGAAAAUCUUAAAUGUCAAAAAACUCUUCAGAUCUGAAAAAUGCCGCUUGUACUUUUCAAAUCCCUAACAAGAGAUUUCUGUGGCGGUCUCAGUGUUGGUAAAAGUGUCACACAGAUAAACUUCUUUCCUAAAAUCAUGCUAUGUACUUACUUUGUCAAGGUCAGAGACUAGAGAUUGCUAGGCCCGGAAUUUGAUCUUUGGUCCUAUUGCUUUUCAGAAGACACAUUUAUACCCCUAGGCCACUUCCUUUAAUAACAGCUUACUUUUCACCAGUUAUGGUUUAUACAAAAAACUCAUCAUAGUUUGGAUUUAUUGCCUUUUAUCAAGGUAGCACCCCAUGGUGAUGAGUCCUCAUUACAGUCUGUGUAGCUAUCAUAACUGCUACAAGGUUGCCAUUUUAUUUUUUUAAAUGUUUCUUUAUUCUUGAGAGAGAGAGUGAGAGACAGAGAGAGAGAGAGGGAGACACAGAAUCUGAAGCAGGCUCCAGGAUCCGAGCUGUCAGCACAGAGCCGGACGUGGGGCUUGAACCCAGGAACCACAAAAUCAUGACCUGAGCUGAAAGUCAGACGCUUAACUGACUGAGCCACCCAGGUGCCGCACAUGGUUUCCAUUUUAAUUUACCAACCCUUUGUUAUCAAUGCUACUUUAAAAUUUUUUCUUUAUUUUUUUUAACCCGAAGUUUCCAAUUAAGAAAGCUACCUCAUUGGUGCCAUUGUAAAAAGUGGCCAGUACUCAUUCUGUCUUCUCAGUAUUUAUGGAGUAUGUUCUUGUGCCAGGCUCAGACCUGAAGACACUGUCCUGAAUGAAUAAGAUGAGACUUGGUCUUUGCUCUCAUUGAGUUUAACGUUUGGGAGGGUGUGAAAGGCCUCGUGCAAGGACUUUGAAAGGCCUCCAUGAACAAGGGCACAUAGUUUAACCCUGUGCACUUGGAGGCGUUAAUGAACCCUGGUGGUUUAUUUCCUAGACCCCUCUUUCAAAAGCCCAUUUGCUUGUUGAAUGCUCUUAUAGGAGUGCCUGUUGAAUGUUUGUUUGUUUUUCUCCGUCCCUCUGAACAUCUUUUCUUUCCAUUGAUCUGUCCUUUUCUAUACCUGCCAUGUUGUAGGUCCCCACUUGGGCCACCCUGGUUCCCCACUCUGUAGCCAUUGUGGUAGACCCAAUGUGCCCAUCCAGUCUUUCGAGGAUAGGCUUAGAGAUACAAGCUUUGGAAUCGAGGCCUCCUGGGUUCCAGAACCACCUCCUGCUUACUGGCUAUGGGGAUUAUGGAGCCAUGGUAAAGAUUAAAUGAAAUAAAGCUUUGAAGUGCUUAACACAGUGCCCACAGCAUAAUAAAUCCUCAAUAAAUAGCAGCUUUCAUUAUUAUUAAGUCCUCAAUCAGGCCUCACAAGAUGCUCCAUGAUCUGGUUGUCCUUUGAUUCUGAGACUUUGCAUCCCACCAAGUGUCACAUUUUCCCAAUGUACCCCUGUCAUCCUGUAUACACACGCCCUGAAUAGUUUAGCCCUUUUAGUUAGUGUCUUUGUUCAAGCUGCUCUCUGCUCACACCUCCGGCUCCCUGAAUAACUUUCCCUUGUCUUUAAGACUGCACUCAAGGGGCGCCUGGGUGGCUCAGUCGGUUGAGCGUCCGACUUCGGCUCAGGUCACGAUCUCACGGUCUGUGGGUUCGAGCCCCGCGUCGGGCUCUGGGCUGACAGCUCAGAGCCUGGAGCCUGUUUCAGAUUCUGUGUCUCCCUGUUUCUCUGACCCUACCCUGUUCAUGCUCUCUCUCUGUCUCAAAAAUAAAUAAACUUAAAAACAACAACAACAACACUUUGCUCAAGUGUCAUCUGCCUAAAGAAACCUCAACCCCAGGUUGAGCUAAGACCUUAGCACCCAGGAAAUGUUGACCUGAGCUGCUGGUACAAUCCAGGCCAAGCAUUUUAACAACCAGGCAAUCACUAUGUAUCGGGAGUUUGUCUGAAUGGUAAAAUCUUACUUUUCGUUAGAAUAGUUUUGGCUCCGGGGUGCCUAAGUGGCUCAGUUGGUUGAGCUUCUGACGUCGGCUCAGGUCAGAGUUUGUGAGUUUGGUUCAUGAGUUCAAGCCCCACAUCGGGCUGUCUGCCGUCAGCACAGAACCCACUUUAGAUCCUCUGUACCCCCCUCUCUCUGCCCCUCCCCUGCUUGCUCGCUCUCUCUCUCAAAAAUAAAUAAACAUUUAAAAAGGAAAGGAAUCGUUUUGGCUCUGAUCUAAGUGGGCAGUGUGGCUGUUUUUAUCCUAUGCCCUUGUUUUCUUAUUCUGGUGAGAUAUGGAAUAAGAGGCUUCAACUUCUGACAAGGCAUGAAGGAAAGUUCUCAUCCAGUCCCUUCAGCUAUGCAUUUUGAAUUAGCAUUAGGCAUUCUAAGCCCUUCCAAAACGUUAGGGUUUCCACCGAAGAAAUUCUCCAGUAAAUCCUGAAUUCUCUGUCCUUUUUUUUUUUGUUCUAGAAGGUUGUCGAAAGGAGACUUUCAUUAAAAAUGAAGUGCUGAAAUCUAAAUAUAGCUUUUAAGUUUCUUUUUUCAUCAGGGUUUUAUGUUUUGGUUUAUAAGCAGUGACGCAGAGUUGGUCUAAGGGCAGAGUGGCCCUCGAGCAGUCUCUGUGCUGCAGAGCUGUGUGGAUGUUAUUUAGGUCUGAUGCAAACCACCAAAACAGUUUAAAAUAGGGUGCAGAGGAAACCUACUUCCUGGCUAGAGCAUGGCAUUAUUUAGCCAAUUUCCACAUAAAAGCAUAACUCCGCUACCUUGUUACCUUCCGCUCUCUGGGUCCUCACUUACAGCUUUGGCCGAUUUAAGGCAUGAUUCUCAGGGGAAGUGACUUAGCAGAGAAGCAUUAGCAGUAAGAACACUCACCACGUGUUUUGUGCUACCUGUUUUCCGUGUCAUCUUGUGUCCCAUUCCCCCCCCCCACCCCCCCGCCGCCAUACUGUUGCUUCUGACCUGGGCACCUUGAUCAUUCUCCUUCCUUGCCUGGCAUGUCAGGAGGGUUUAGAAGGCCGAGCGGGCACAUUAGCUCAUCUCAGGGAGAAGUGGGGAGAAGGGAAACCAGCAUUUGAAAAUCUGCUCGCAGCCGGCUGCUUGACAUGGCUGAUCUAAUUUAAUCUUCAGAAGAAGCCUGCUAUCUUUAUUUAUAAAUGGGGAAGAUGGAGUCUGCUCAAGGUCACUCGAGGUUGAGGUUCAGAUCUUGAGCUCAAGCAUUCUGACACCAAAACGUUGCUUUUACAUCAUCCCCUGAUAACAGCAACUGAAGAUGUUCUGAUACCUGGCUACUCAACGCGUGGUCCAGAAUCUGCAUUUUAACAAGAUCCCGGGGUGAUUCAUGUACAUACUUGAGAAGUCCUGCUCCAGUAGCAUUAAAGCAUUUUGCACAGAGGAGUCAAAGGAUCUACAGUGAUUUUGGGAGAUCAGAUCAGACUUGCUUCUGCCACUGAGGAGGAGAAGGAUUCCAGGGGAGUAGUAGCUCCUGGUUUUCAGAGGGUGUUUUGAGUCCUCCCUAGCUACAAGACCCCCUUUAAACCGUAUGUAACUAACUAAUGCUCGGAGGCUAGCAGAGGCGAAUGCUCUGACAGUGCUUCAGGUCAAUUACUGAGUCAGUUUCGCCCUGUUUACCCAAAGCAUCUUCCAUGGCUCUACCCUUGACCAGCAACCAAGAUCCUAGGGAUCCAUUUCUCUGCUGAACUCAUGGCAUUUAUCACGUUUACUCAUUAGGCUUUUAAUCACAGACUACCUUGACAUUUGUAGGCCUUAAUUAAGAGCUAUCAUACCUUGGCAUUUCUGAAAGUGGGUAGCACUGUGCUGUAUAUAAAGUAUGUCCCCAGUAAAGUAAUGAAUAAAUGCCCGGUUUUUUGGGACAUGGUUCUCCUCUUCAACAUUAAAAAAAAAAAAAAAUCUUUUGCCUUGAGAAACUUAUUUGGUUGAUGCUGAGUGAGAACUCACUAAAUUUUUCUUGAAUCCAUCAACAUUUAUUUUAGAUGUUCUAAGCACCACCGUGGGCUUUUUCUGUGAUUGGUGUCUGUAUUUUAUUUACCAUAAGGCAGGUUUUUUUGCACCUUGGUUGCUUUCAUCUUUAAGAAUUUUGGGUCACUAGCAGUUACAACAACAACCAAUUCUCAUACCUCUUCCUGAUCUUAUUUUUUUCAAAUAACUUUAUCUUCUGACUUUUUUCUUCUUCUUGACAAUUGAACUGUAUUUGGCAAAAACCAAAAUAAACAAAAAACUGAAAAAACUUUCCACUGAAACUUGUAUCUCAUGUUGUUGCCUUUUAUAUCAAAUGUCAACUUAUUCAGCAGAAUAACUGUAAAUCUUAAUACCUCGAAUCUCUUAAGCAGAUGUUUAUUUACAACAGGAACCUAAUUACAUGAAAUGCAUAACCAUUUGCUUUCAUAUUUGCUCUUAAAUCAUGCUACCAUAAUGAAAAUCUGAACUCUUACCUUCUGCCGUCUGUAAGAAGCUCAGUGGUUUCUGCCCAUGGACACCCUCUGUCCCUUUUCUCUUUAAUAAACAGACUUCAUUUUGAACAGGUGACCCCUGCUAGAAAGCCUUCCAUGGAUCUUCUCUGUUGAUCUCGGGGAUUGAUUACACGGCCCUUGCUUUCUGUUUGAGGUCAGGCGCUGCAUCAGUAUCCUUGGUUCCUAAGACUCACUGAUGGUUCCUAAGACUCACAGGAUGGGUUUGAUGAUUGCAUGUGUGAAUGAGGCCAGUCCUCUCCCCCCAUUUCCCCUUCUUCUCUCAAGCAUGCUAUGGACCCUGGUUCCAUUCAGACUGGGUCUCCUCACACAUCCUUUUGCUUUUAGAUUUUCUAUGUUUGACUCUUCUGCUCCCCCACGUUUUCCCAUUCUCUACCCAUGUCCUACAACACCUCCACCAUGCUGAAAUAAUGCCUGACCAAAUGCCACUCCCUCUGUUGGGUUUUCAGUUUAUUAUCCCGUCAGAUCUCCUUUCUUUCUCCUCUUUGCAGCCUCUCUAACAGGCCUGGCUUCCACACUCAGGUGGCUUUGGUGGCCAAGCUACUCUUGGCUGUAUUAUGUGCCCCUUAUUAGAAUGAAAAUUCUUUGAGGGAGAACCUUCUGUCUGAUUUUUCCUGGCACUCAGUGUGUAUUCUCACUGAGAAAGGUAGUUGCUGUUUAGAAUUUAUUACUUUUAAAGACCAGGGAAACUGCUUAUAAAUCCAAGAUGGGAUGGAGAUAGAUCUAUAUCUAUAAUAUUAACUAUAGAUAUUUUUUAUAUAAAUUUAAAUAUUUUUUUCUAGACUGUUGACCCUUUCACCACCAAGCGUGUCAUCAGUGGUCUUGUCAUUUAUUGCCACCUUGAGGGAACCUUGGGCUUGUGGGAAAUUUUAAAUCAUCUGAUGCGUGUAAGUUGCUCUUUGCAGUGGAGGAUCCCCUGUCUUCGGUCUUUAGUUUCUGUGAACUUGGGGGAGCUGUAGUCUGUGGGUGUCAUAGCCUGUUGUUUUUCCGUCCGUCACCGACCGCCUUUGGUUCAUUUAUCCUCUUGUGUGUGAAUCUUUUGUAGAGGGCCCAACGUGUUGUGACUAUAGAAGCCAGAAAAAGUCAUAAAGGAAAUCAUAAUACCAUCAGACUCAGGACAGGUUUUUAUUUAUUUAUUUAUUUUUGCCACUCCUGCCUUUCAUUUUUAUGAAUGGUGGGUUAUCUCCUGCCAUUGGGAUAGUUGGGGAAGGGACAGUUGAAUGAAGGAGUCUUAGUGCAGUGGAGAGUGUCCGAAAACACCCUUCCACCUGCCCAAGGGAGGACAUCCCAUAUUGCAAAGAUGACUCCUGGCUGUACCUUCUGGAAAGGCUGUAGACAUGGCCCCUAGCUCUCUUCCAGCUGGAUUGUCACCCUUAGACCCCCCUCCUCCAGGGAAAUUUUGGAGCUACCCAUGAGUUCGUAACAUUAGGCAUGGCUAGCAAUGCCCUUUCUGUUCUAUCUAGGGAGAAAGGGAGAUGAAAUAAGAAUUUUAUGUCUUAAUAUUCCGUCGCACUUACAGGAAAUGGUUUUAAUUUGAUGGAUGUUGGUUAGCUUUCAAAACUGCUGAAAACCUUUUAUCUUUCAAGAUUUUGACGAUGAAGUUGGUGAGGAUGUUUGUGGCAAUUAUAUAAUCGGUUAUGCAGCACUGUGCAAAGCAUUUUGUCAAACUCAGAGCGUCUCCUGUUACCAGUUUAUUAAUGAAAUACUUAUCUUCAGGGCCAAGGAAGGAAUCUAGUUUCCUACUAGUUUCAUAUUUACUUGUUGGAUAACUGUUGCAGCUACAGUUAACUCUGUUCGGAGCUCACUGGCUUUGUUACUCCUCAAGGUAUAACUCCUCUUAAAAGCAAUUGACUAAAUGUUAGAUGCCUCUGUUAGUCAUCUUCUGCUAAUCAAAACAGCUUUCUUCUUCUCUCUCUCUUUUCAUAGAGAGUUCUGUAAUUCAUCUUUAAGUUCUGGGAAGGGAAUCUUCACCGUGAGCUCUGAUACAAAGUACUGUUUUGAUUACAAUCAGUACUUUAAUAAAACGUAUGUGAAAGUGAGUUACGGUGAGCAUUUGAUAAUGUAUAUAAUUGUCAAAUCACUGUGUUGUACACCUGAAACUAAUACAAUAUUGUAUGUUGAGUAUAUGUCAGUUAAUAAUAAUAAUAAUAAUAAUAAUAAAGGAGUAUUUAGAGGGAGCCCCUGAAUGUCUGAUUGAUCCUGUGUCCCUGAUCUUAAAUCUACUUCCCUUGUUACACAAAGUGACCAUAGAGGCCACCUUGGCACUCGUGCUCUCUGAAUUGAAGUGUCUUUGAAGUUAGGGGAAAAUGAAGGGAUCAGAGUGAGCAGCUGAUGAUUGUGCUGGUUGAAAGCCACUCGUGUGACCUUUAUCAGCAGUGACCAGGGCUGCGGUAGAACGUCCUGCUUGUGGUGAACAUUUCUGCCCACAGCCCUCCCUGGUGCAUAUCUCUUGGGAACACGGAAAAUGUCUUUUGUUGUUCAAAUAGCUGUUAAAUGAAGAUGAAAAGCACAACAAACAUCGUAAAAAUAGUCAUUUGCCAGCUUGUCCAGGCAGAUAAAAAACCUAGUGUCAGGAAAACAGAAAAGAGCAGUGAUUUGAAUAACUUUAUGAGUUCUGAGACUUACGGGGGAAAGAGUACCUACCAGUGGGGAAAAGAGUCUAGUCUGAUAACUUUGAAGAAGACAUAUUGACCAUGUCUGGUUAUAAUGAUUUUCAAAUAAUCCCUUAUGUUAAUAGAGUGCUUUAUUAUCUGUAAAAGAGUUUCACCUGGAUAUCAUAUUUCAUUUUGGAAACGACCCUCUGAGUGGGUAUAAUUACCCUGUUUUACCAAUAAUAUGGAAAUGGAAGCCCAGAAAGAUGAAACCAUCUAAGGCCUUGUAAAGCAUCACAAGUGUGUGUUUUUGUCAUUUUACCAUCUUUUAGUCAUCGUACCCCUGGCUGCUUAAUUUCUAAGAAAAUGUGAGACAAACGCUAUGGUCCUAUCAUAUUUUUAUCUUUCAGUAGCCACAUUGAGGAAGACGGGAUCGUAGGAUUGACAUCAGAAGCCUUGUUCUUUGCCUCAAAAAUUGGAAACCAUAUUUGGGACCGGCGAAUACCCUCCUUCAAGAUACACUUCUUUGAGGGUUUUGUCACCGGUCUUCCUAGAGCUGAAGCUAUAUAAUGAGUUAUUUUUCUUGUUCUCCUUUUCUUGUAGGGCAGUUUUUCUCUUAAACACCAUGCGGUCUGCCUUCCCGAGGGUUAUAUCACCAUUGCCAGUAGGCACAUGUCGCCAUUUAUAAAAGACUAUGGCUUUGUCACAGUCUUGUAGUUGUGCUCGUCUUCAGAGUUUCGGGAUGCUUCCCAUAAUCACACAGGAAGGGUGUGUCUUCACCAUAUAGGCAUAGAGGUCAAGUAUUGUCCUUGGCUUCCUUUCCCAGAACUUCUUAGAGAUGAAUGUCUGAGUAAAGAUACGGAGAAGAACAAGAUUGUUUUGACUGGCAGAACACAAGAAACACAGGCAUCCAGUAUUCUGGAUACCCUAAAUUACUUUUGUACCCUAAAACCAAGAGCUCACUGUAUACACUGUAUGUGAGCCAACUUGACAAUAAACUAUUUAAAUAAAUAAAUACAUAUAUAAAAGGAAAAAAAUAAAUUACUUUUGUAUACAGUAGCUUCUAUCUUGAGGAGUAGCAAAGCCGACUUAUUUGACUGACAUUUUCAAAGGAUAUGGUAAAGAAUGACCUUGAUUGGCAGAAACUGCACUCAGCUUGCAAGCUACACAAAGCUAACGGACACUCCUGCUUGCCUGCAAUUUGUUCUAGAAAUGUCAUUUCCCCCACAACAUAAAAAGAGAAGUUGAGUCAUGAUGUCGUUUUACUUAAUUUUGGUUAAGGAAACAAAUCAAAUCAGCUCCCACACUAUAGUAUGGACUUCUUUCUCUUCUUUUCUACCAUUCUUCUUUUUUUCUUUUUAUUUUUUCCAGUGGACUUGAGACUAAGGAUUAUUCUGAUCUUUCCAUCUCUGGGAAAAUUUCCUAGAAAAGAUGAUCUUCCUUAAGUAAUGACUGGGUUCAUGAAUUUAUAUUAGAAUCAGAUCUUCUUCAAAUUAGAAUGGAUUUCAGUGUUACUUUUCAUGUACUUCUUGUUUAAAAGGGAUUUCAUAGUAAAUCUUCUAGAAUACUACCUAUUAUAUAAUCCUUUUAAAAAUGGUAAUUUGUGCAUACCGAUUCCUGUUAAGGCAGAUGUAACUGUAUUUAGAAGAAUAUUCAAAUUUUGAACAUUUCAGAGGCGAUCCUUCUUCAGAUCUGGUGAGAUAGUACUCAGUAUAUAUCUGUUAAAUGGAAUAAGAAAGAAAAUAUACCACAGAGACAAGGAAGAGAAGUUAAGCUGUAGGACUAUAUUGACUUAAAACUUAUUUUUUUGUGUGUUCUAUCUGUUUAGCUUUGUGAUUAUCUGAAGGAAAAACUUGUCCACAACCACGAACUCUGAUCUAGGAGCUAUUUAUCUUAUUAACUCCUUUGGUAGUGCAUCUGAAAGGAGAUAACACUUUCUUAUGUUGGACUUUUUGAAGUCAUUAUUCAUUUUGCCUUGUGGAGUCAAAGCCCUUUAGAAAUUCAGCUUUCUCAGGAAACCUGCCCCUUAGGUCUUCAAACAGAUCUCCCUUCAAACUCAUGCUCUUGGUGAUUGACCAAGGAUUUCCACCCUUUAAAAACAUAGGAAUAUGUAAAAUCCCUACUAAAAAAUUAACCUAAAAUGACCUUCCAGGGGUGCCUGGCUCAGUUGGCUCGGAUGACUCAGUUGAUUGAGGGUCUGACUCUUGAUUUUGGCUCAGAUCACAAUCUCACGGUUUGUGAGUUUAAGCCCAGUGUGGGGCUCUGUGCUGACAGUGUGGAGCCUGCUUACAAUUCCCUCUCUCCCCCCUCCCCUGCUCGUGCUCUCUCUCUCUCUCUCUC